AACGUAGGACGCGAGCGUUAUCCGGAGUUACUGGGCGUAAAGCGCGGGCAGGCGGUCUGACAAGUCUGAUGUGAAAUCUCCGGGCUUAACCGGGAGAGGCCAUUGGAAACUGACAGGCUGGAGGGCAGUAGAGGUAGGCGGAAUUCCGGGUGGAGUGGUGAAAUGCGUAGAGAUCCGGAGGAACACCAGAGGCGAAGGCGGCCUACUGGGCUGCACCUGACGCUGAGGCGCGAAAGCUAGGGGAGCAAACAGG
rnacentral:rRNA from 1 species